rnacentral:misc_RNA from 1 species
AAGAACCUGUCUAUGGAGAUAGAUACCGGCAGUGCGAUUUCUUGUAUAAGUAAUGAUUGUUAUAGAAAAAUGUUUUCGGAUUGUGAGUUAAAACAAAGUAGUUUGUGUUUACGUUACUAUACUGGGGAGAUUGUAAAACCGUUCCAGAUACAGUGAUGUGUUUGCCGAGGGACUGGGGAGAUUCACUGGCGGAAAGGUGGG